rnacentral:rRNA from 1 species
AUUGAACGCUGGCGGCAGGCUUAACACAUGCAAGUCGAGCGAGCGGCGGACGGGUGCGUAAUGUCUGGGAAACUGCCUGAUGGAGGGGGAUAACUACUGGAAACGGUAGCUAAUACCCCAUACCAUCAGCUUUGCCCACAUGGGCUUAGCUAUUUGGUGGGGUAAUGGCUCACCUAGGCGACGAUCCCUAGCUGGUCUGAGAGGAUGACAAGACAGACUGGAACUGGGACACGGUGCAGACUGCUACGGGAGGCAGCAGUGGGGAAUAUUGCACAAUGGGCGCAAGGCUGAUGCAGCCAUGCAGCGUGUGUGAAGAAGGCCGUCGGGUUGUAAAGCACUUUCAGCGAGGAGGCGUUACUCGCAGAAGAAGCACCGGCUAACUCCGUGCCAGCAGCCGCGGUAAUAC